GGCACGGUGGCGCAGUGGUUAGCAUUGCUGCCUCACAUGUUGUGGUUGUGGGUUUGAAUCCGGCCUGGGGCC